GACGAACGCUGGCGGCGUGCUUAACACAUGCAAGUCGAACGGAAAGGCCCUGCUUGCAGGGUGCUCGAGCGGCGAACGGGUGAGUAACACGUGGGUGAUCUGCCCCUUACUUUGGGAUAAGCCUGGGAAACUGGGUCUAAUACUGGAUAGGACCAUGCUGUAGGUGGUGUGGUGGAAAGAUUAGUUUCGGUAAGGGAUGAGCUCGCGGCCUAUCAGCUUGUUGGUGGGGUAAUGGCCUACCAAGGCGUCGACGGGUAGCCGGCCUGAGAGGGUGGACGGCCACAUUGGGACUGAGAUACGGCCCAGAAUCCUACGGGAGGCAGCAGUGGGGAAUAUUGCACAAUGGGCGCAAGCCUGAUGCAGCGACGCCGCGGGGGGGAUGACGGCCUUCGGGUUGUAAACUCCUUUCAGCCAUGACGAAGCCCUUGUGGUGACGGUAGUGGUAGAAGAAGCACCGGCUAACUACGUG
rnacentral:rRNA from 1 species